AUACGUAGGGUGCGAGCGUUGUCCGGAAUUACUGGGCGUAAAGAGCUCGUAGGUGGUUUGUCGCGUCGUCUGUGAAAUUCCGGGGCUUAACUCCGGGCGUGCAGGCGAUACGGGCAUAACUUGAGUACUGUAGGGGAGACUGGAAUUCCUGGUGUAGCGGUGAAAUGCGCAGAUAUCAGGAGGAACACCGGUGGCGAAGGCGGGUCUCUGGGCAGUAACUGACGCUGAGGAGCGAAAGCAUGGGUAGCGAACAGGAUUAGAUACCCUGGUAGUCCAUGCCGUAAACGGUGGGCGCUAGGUGUAGGGGUCCUCCACGACUUCUGUGCCGUAGCUAACGCAUUAAGCGCCCCGCCUGGGGAGUACGGCCGCAAGGCUAAAACUCAAAGGAAUUGACGGGG
rnacentral:rRNA from 1 species